UACGUAGGGGGCAAGCGUUGUCCGGAUUUAUUGGGCGUAAAGAGCUCGUAGGCGGUUCGGCAAGUCGGGUGUGAAAUUUCGAGGCUCAACCUCGAAACGCCACUCGAUACUGCUGUGACUGGAGUCCGGUAGAGGAGUGCGGAAUUCCUGGUGUAGCGGUGAAAUGCGCAGAUAUCAGGAGGAACACCGGUGGCGAAGGCGGGUCUCUGGGCAACAACUGACGCUGAGGAGCGAAAGCGUGGGGAGCGAACAGG
rnacentral:rRNA from 1 species